GAUGAACGCUGACAGAAUGCUUAACACAUGCAAGUCGAUGGGGAAGUGGUGCUUGCACCAUGGCAACCAUGGCGGACGGGUGAGUAACGCGUAAGGGACUUACCUGCAGGACUGGGAUAACAGGGGGAAACUCCUGACAAGACCGGAUAAUGUCAUGGAGCUUCCUGGCUUUAUGAUGAAAGGAGACGCCUGCGGAGAGCCUUGCGUCCUAUUAGCUAGUUGGUGAGGUAAUGGCUCACCAAGGCGAAGAUAGGUAGCCGGCCUGAGAGGGUGGACGGCCACAAGGGGACUGAGAUACGGCCCUUACUCCUACGGGAGGCAGCAGUGGGGAAUAUUGGACAAUGGGGGCAACUCUGAUCCAGCAAUUCUGUGUGCACGAAGAAGGUUUUCGGAGUGUAAAGUGCUUUCAGCAGGGAAGAAGUAAGUGACGGUACCUGCAGAAGAAGCGACGGCUAAAUACGUG
rnacentral:rRNA from 1 species